rnacentral:rRNA from 1 species
GGUGAACGCUGGCGGCGUGCUUAAGACAUGCAAGUCGAACGCAGUCUUCGGACUGAGUGGCGCACGGGUGAGUAACACGUAACUGACCUACCCCCAAGUCGCGGAUAACUGGCCGAAAGGUCAGCUAAUACGUGAUGUGAUGUCCCCUUUCUGGGGGGCCAUUAAAGGUUUACUGCUUGGGGAUGGGGUUGCGGUCCAUCAGCUAGUUGGCGGGGUAAAGGCCCACCAAUGCAACGACGGAUAGCCGGCCUGAGAGGGUGGCCGGCCACAGGGGCACUGAGACACGGGUCCCACUCCUACGGGAGGCAGCAGUUAGGAAUCUUCCACAAUGGGCGAAAGCCUGAUGGAGCGACGCCGCGUGAGGGAUGAAGGUUCUCGGAUCGUAAACCUCUGAAUCAGGGACGAAAGACGCGUAAGCGGGAUGACGGUACCUGAGUAAUAGCACCGGCUAACUCCGUGCCAGCAGCCGCGGUAA